GUUGUAUCACCUUACAGGAUUUGCCCACUGGGUGCUCACAUUGAUCAUCAGGGUGGAACUGUUUCAGCUAUGACAAUCAAUAAGGGUAUACUACUUGGUUUUGUUCCUUCUGAUGACACCCAGGUUACAUUGCAAUCUGGGCAAUUUGAAGGAGAAGUUCGGCUCAGAAUAGACGAAGUUCAGCUUCCUAAGCAUAUGUAUGGGACAAAUGGUUUAACUGAACAAAUGGACUCAUCCCCACCUCAGGAAGAAUGGAAAUGGGGUAACUAUGCUAGAGGAGCAAUCUAUGCCCUGCAGA
rnacentral:misc_RNA from 1 species